UACGGGGGGAGCAAGCGUUGUUCGGAUUUACUGGGCGUAAAGGGCGCGUAGGCGGCCACCGCAAGUCGACUGUGAAAUCUCCGGGCUUAACCCGGAAAGGUCAGCCGAUACUGCGGGGCUAGAGUGCAGAAGGGGCAACUGGAAUUCCUGGUGUAGCGGUGAAAUGCGCAGAUAUCAGGAGGAACACCGGUGGCGAAGGCGGGUCUCUGGGCCGUAACUGACGCUGAGGAGCGAAAGCGUGGGGAGCGAACAGG
rnacentral:rRNA from 1 species